rnacentral:rRNA from 1 species
GACGAACGCUGGCGGCGUGCUUAACACAUGCAAGUCGAACGGAAAGGCCCCUUUGGGGUUACUCGCGUGGCGAACGGGCGAGUAACACGUACGUAACUAGCCUUUCCCUUCGUUAUAACUACAGUAAACUGGGGCGAAUACCUGCUAGGUAUCCUCGCCUCAUGCUGGGUGUUGGUUGGCUUCUGGGGGUUGGGAUGGAUGUGCGGGCUAUUAGCCUGGUGGUGGGGUAGUGGCUUACCUACGCAUUGGCGGGCAGCCGGCCUGGGUGGGCGAACGGCCACAAUGGGAAUGGGGUACGGGCCAGACUCCUACGGGGGGCAGGAGGGGGGAAUAUUGGACCAAGGGGGGGAGGCUGAUGGAGGAACGCCGCGGGGGGGAUGACGGCCUUCGGGUUGUAAACCGCUUUCAGCAGGGGAGGAGCUUGUGGUGACGGUAACGGGAGAAGAAGCACCGGCUAACUACGUG